AGCCACAGAAUCGUCAAGGUUGGAAGAAACCGCUAAGAUCAAGUCCAAGCGUCAGUCGAGCCCUGCCCCUGUAACCCCCAAAGCACCAAACCACAUCACCCAGCGCCAGGUCCAGACGCCUCUUAAACACCACCAGGGAUGGCACGGCAGAAGAGCCCGGCCCCCACCGUGCUCUAACCUGCCUUCAGGGCCAGCUUCCAGUCAUGGCCACACACCCAGCCCGUGGCAGAAGAAUAAAUGCUGCUCAGUUAAAUUCUUUUGUCCAUUUUCAACCAAGUUACAGAAUAAUUAUCCUCUCUCUCUUUACUUCAUUUUUGUCUUAAAUAAAUCACUAUUAGAUUUAGCAGUUUUCUGAUUUUUAUAGGAGUUUGAUCACUAAUGUUAACAUUAGGUUAGAUUACCCUUGUUGUUUUAAUGUUUCUAAUAUUGAUUUUGUAGGUUCAUGAGCAACAGAGCUCACUAUUUGUAGUGGUCAUUAGCUCUGAUUUGUGAUCACUUUCCAUGCAGAUAUUCCUGUGGUUGGUAUUUUGGUUGGUAUAUAAAUCAAAUUAUUUUGUCAAUGUAUUGACUCUGCUAAAACUAAUCUGAAAUUUCUUGCGUCUGUUUCUUUUUUUGUCUUCUAAUGUACUUCCACUUCAUCACUAAGAAAGUUUAUUAUUUAGUCCCGUGGUAGUAAGAAUCCCAGCAGUCUGGCUAAAAGGAACAGACCAAGCAAUUACAAAACUCACUAAGAAGUAAAUGAGGCAGCACUUACAUUGCAGAAUGCUUACCAUCAGUUCUGAUAACGCAAGUGGCUAAAAAAUGUUUGGUGGGGCAGAAAAGUGUGGUUUUAAAAGUAUGUUUGCAAAGCUAUCGUAAAAAGUAGGCAAGGAAAUGUAUUUUAUUAGCUGACUUUGAAAAUAUUUGCGUAACUCUGCAUCAGUGUAUAUGUCCAUAUAUUUCUGCUUUUUUCAGAACGAUCUCGAGGUCAUUCAGAGCUCCUGGGAACUUAAGCUAUAUUUUUCUAUGUGCCGUAAAUCCAAAAUAACUAACCAAAGUCAGUGCAGUUCCUGGGGAUUUGUGCUACUGUAAAUGAGAACAGAAUGGUCGUCUGACAACUCUACAUUUUGUUUCCCAUAUCCCUGGUUACCCUUGUUGUGUGCAACAAGACAUAGAGAUACGAGCAGUGGGAUUUUAAAUGGAUCUACGUUUAUAAUUCCAGUUAAAAUCAAGAAGAAAGCAAUGGAAAACAAACAGAAGCUUUUUCACUUAUGUGCCAUGCUCACACCAAAACAUCUGUCCGUCAACUCUGCUUCCUUCAAGUCCAGGAACACCAUGGUUAUAGGAGUGCUUUGAAAGCCUUUAUUUUCACUGCCAGUUAGAGGAUGCUGUUGGCAUUCCUAGACAUGAAAAUAUUUGGGAUUUCUGUAUGCUGUGUUUUUUUCUUGUUUUUUUUUUUUUUUUUUUUCACUCUGUAAAUUGCAUUCUGGACUGUGCUGCCUGUAUCAAAUAGCUCCUGGAACAUCCCUCCUAAUCAGUUCCUUUUGGGAUCAGGAUCGUCAGGCUGGUUCUGAAGCCGUGCCAGUGCCGGCAAUGCAUGGGGACUACAGAUGAGAUCUUUGUUACAGAAGCAUGAGAUCAAUUCACCAUUCCGGGCCAUGUAGUAAAUGCAUUCCUGACUGAAUGUUACAUCGUUUUUAUUUUCCUGGGACAGCAUUGCACUGUGUCUCCUCUCUGAAAGAGCUAUGUUCAUUAGAUACAGGAAGUCCUGCUAAUCAUCCAUAACGUUACAUUAACAGCUGCUGGUGGGUCUUUUGAAUGCCCAGUGAUCAGGGGAGUUUGCAAGAGAUUUGGUGCUUCUUUGCUGUGAUUGUUUUCUUCAGCAUGCUUCAGAAUCCAAAGUUCUGUUAAAAAAAAGGCAGUUAAUCCUUAGGGUUGUGAGGAAAACUUUUAAAACACGCACCAGAUGGAAAUCAAUGCAGUAGGGUCUUGCAAGCAGACAGAUAGGCUGAGAAGAAAUCUGAAGGCUGAUAUUAUUUGGAUUGAAGGAAAAAGAGCUGCAAAGCAGUCGUGCAACUUAGAUACCAUCAAUACAGUACAGGGAAUAUGCAAGUCUGAGGUGAGCUCUGUCUCAUUUCACAUCGUUGACAGCUUUGUUUUUGCCAGUGGCUCAAGAUAAACCCAAUUUUCUCUCCUGUUGAUUUGUGCUCCCUUUCUUUUGUAUAGACAACUUCCAUUACUUCCUUUGGCAGUGCACACGAUAGCUGACUCAGGAACAGAGCUGACUGGAAAAAAAAGAUUUCCAGUCUAUAGACAAUAAAUUUAUGCUUCUGCCCUUGUUUUCUGCACAUUUUUUUACAA